AUGAUAUCUGCUCUCACUGCUAGUUCUGUUACUCCUACUUGGGUGCAAGAAGUGGUAAAGAGCUACAGGCAGGAUAGCAGAGUGAAAGAACUGAUUGCUGAGUGCACUGUAGCUGCUCCUGGCACUACUGGUUACUCUUACAAAAAUGGCAUUUUGAGAUUUAACAACAAAGUGGUGGUGGGCACAACCACAUCUUUGAGGCAGGAUAUCCUCAAGACCUUUCACAAUUCUGAAUUGGGUGGUCAUUCAGGUGAGAGAGCUACAUACCACAGAGUGAAAUUGGUAUUUCACUGGCAGGGAAUGAAACAGGAUGUUAUUGCUUUUGUUAAAGCUUGCCCUGUAUGUCAGUUGAACAAAGCAGAACACUCACCCUACCCAGGCCUCAUAGAGCCUCUACCUGUGCCUGACUUUGCUUGGGCCCAUAUAAGCAUGGAUUUUGUGGAAGGAUUGCCCACUUCUGAGGGCAAGAAUUUGAUUCUGGUGGUGGUGGAUAGGUUUACAAAAUAUUCUCAUUUUGUAGCUAUGCAACACCCUAUAACAGUGCAAACAGUGGCUAGAGCUUUCUCUGAUAAUGUCUUUAAAUUGCAUGGCAUGCCCUUGGUUAUAGUAACUGACAGGGACAUGAUCUUCACUAGUCACUUGUGGCAGCAGCUAUUCAAAUCAUUGAAGAUCAAGCUACACAUGAGCACUAGUUAUCAUCCACAAUCUAAUGGCCAGAUUGAAAGAGUGAACCAGUGUCUUGAAAAUUAUCUGAGAUGCAUGUGUUUUCAGCAACCAAGGAAAUGGCAUAGUUGGCUAGCUUUAGCUGAGUGGUGGUAUAACACCUCAUUCCACACUGCUUUGCAAAUGACACCCUUCCAGGCCCUCUAUGGCUUUCCUCCCCCAAUGGUGGCAGAAUCAGCCCUGCCAGAUUCUAUUUGUGAAGAUACUGACAACUUGCUUCAGAACAGAGAAGUGGCUUUGGAGAUAAUUAAAAACAAUCUCCUUAAAGCACAAGAGAGGAUGAAAUAUUAUGCUGAUAAGAAGAGGAAGGAAAGGGAGUUCUCUGAGGGAGACAUGGUUUAUCUUAAGCUGCAACCAAGGCACACUUCCUUGAGUUUGCAUAGGCAUCUGAAGCUUCAUUCUAAGUUUUAUGGCCCGUUUCGAGUGUUGGAGCGAAUUGGUAAUCAUGCCUACAAGCUGUUGCUGCCGGAGGGUUGUAUGCUGCAUAACACCUUUCAUGUCAGUCAGUUGAAGAAACAUAUUGGCCCUGCUGUGGUGCCCUCUCGUCAUCUUCCGCUUGUUGGUCCUGAUGGUGUGAUUAAAGUGGAACCAGAAGCAAUAUUGGAAAGGAAACUCAUUCCUCGUCCUCAGGGCAAAAUCAGUAUCCCCGUGGUCAGGUGGUUGGUGAAGUGGGUGAAUUUGCCAGUGGAAGAAGCAACGUGGGAGGAUUCGGCGUUCAUCCAGAAGGUUUUCCCUUCCUUUCGUGCUUGA
rnacentral:rRNA from 1 species